rnacentral:rRNA from 1 species
UUGAACGCUGGCGGCAUGCCUUACACAUGCAAGUCGAACGGUAGAGUAGCAAUACUCGAGAGUGGCGAACGGGUGAGUAAUAUAUCGGAACGUGCCCAGUCGUGGGGGAUAACGUAGAGAAAUUUACGCUAAUACCGCAUACGAUCUAAGGAUGAAAGCGGGGGACUCGCAAGGGCCUCGCGCGAUUGGAGCGGCUGAUAUCAGAUUAGGUUGUUGGUGAGGUAAAGGCUCACCAAGCCGACGAUCUGUAGCUGGUUUGAGAGAACGACCAGCCACACUGGGACUGAGACACGGCCCAGACUCCUACGGGAGGCAGCAGUGGGGAAUUUUGGACAAUGGGCGAAAGCCUGAUCCAGCAAUGCCGCGUGCAGGAAGAAGGCCUUCGGGUUGUAAACUGCUUUUGUACGGAACGAAACGGUCCUUUCUAAUAAAGAGGGCUAAUGACGGUACCGUAAGAAUAAGCACCGGCUAACUACGU